AUACGAACCGUACGAACGUUAUUCGGAAUCACUGGGCUUAAAGAGUGCGUAGGCGGCCUGGCAAGUUGGGUGUGAAAUCCCUCGGCUCAACCGAGGAAUUGCGCUCAAAACUGCUAGGCUUGAGAGAGAUAGAGGUGAGCGGAACUAAUGGUGGAGCGGUGAAAUGCGUUGAUAUCAUUAGGAACACCUGUGGCGAAAGCGGCUCACUGGGUCUCAUCUGACGCUGAGGCACGAAAGCUAGGGGAGCGAACGGGAUUAGAUACCCCGGUAGUCCUAGCUGUAAACGAUGAGCACUGGGUCGAGGGGGAUUCCACACCUUCUCGGCCGUAGCGAAAGUGUUAAGUGCUCCGCCUGGGGAGUAUGGUCGCAAGGCUGAA
rnacentral:rRNA from 1 species